GACGAACGCUGGCGGCGUGCUUAACACAUGCAAGUCGAACGGAAAGACCCUGCUUUUGGGGGGUGCUCGAGUGGCGAACGGGUGAGUAACACGUGGGUAACCUGCCCUUGACUUUGGGAUAACUUCAGGAAACUGGGGCUAAUAGCGGAAAGGAGCUCCUGCUGCAUGGUGGGGGUUGGAAAGUUUCGGCGGUUGGGGAUGGAAUCGCGGCUUAUCAGCUUGUUGGUGGGGUAGUGGCUUACCAAGGCUUUGACGGGUAGCCGGCCUGAGAGGGUGACCUGCCACAUUGGGACUGAGAUACGGCCCAGACUCCUACGGGAGGCAGCAGUGGGGAAUAUUGCACAAUGGGCGGAAGCCUGAUGCAGCAACGCCGCGUGCGGGAUGACGGCCUUCGGGUUGUAAACCGCUUUCGCCUGUGACGAAGCGUGAGUGACGGUAAUGGGUAAAGAAGCACCGGCUAACUACGUG
rnacentral:rRNA from 1 species